CUUGACCUACUGGUCAGACUCUUUCCAGUGCACCCCAGGACACCACUGGACCUCCUGGUCCUCAGGGCACUGCCAGCUCUGGUCCUCCACCAGAACUCCAGGGUGCUUCUCCACAGAGCUGCUCUCUAGGAGGUCAGAUCCAAACCUGUGCUGGGUUAUUCCUCCCCAGGUCCAGGACCCUGCCUUGCCCUUGUGGAACCUUGUUAAAUUUCUCUCUGCCCAACUCUCCAGCCUAGAGGAGUCUGGCUGAAUGGAAACAGGGCCUUCAGGUGUACCAGCCACCUCCCCCAGUAUCAUAUCAUCAGCAAACAUCCUUAGGUUCCUAUAGGCAGAAAUUCCUUCUGAAGAGAAGAACCCUUAUUGCCAGAUCAAAAUCCUCUUUUUACAUGUUCUUGCAUUCAGCAGAAGAGAGGGCUUUUACAAAGACAUCCCAGACUGAAUUCAAGCUUCACCUAAACACACAGUUCUCAAAUCUGUGUGACCAGAUGUCCUCUGACUGUACUCAUUAUAGAAGGAUGUAAAGUCUGAAGUCUGAUGAAUGAUUCCCAGUUGACCCUCACUGGUUAAUCAGACUGAAGUGCUGGUAAAACUAACCUCAGUGGCCAAACACAUGCCAGAGGUGUGCCUUUCAGCCACUGACUUCACCUCUGCUUCAGCAAGAGCUCAAGUCAACUUUUGAUGGACGUGUGUGAAACCUUCUGAAAAGCUUCCAGGGAAUUCCAGUCUGUGUGAAGGACAAAACGUUCACAUUAUUAAAGCUUCUACCAUGCCUGUAAACCACAGAGGAUGGCUUAUGGUGAGAGGAGAUCAAGCAUUUGGUUAACUUAUUUAAGUUUUAUAAAAAUACUAAAACAUUUCACAGAUGAGUACAAACAUUUUAGGAACUGAUAGCGUGUGCAAAGACAGACCUCACAGUCCUUGACUUGUGUAGCUUACAAAUAUUGUGUAAUGGUUCAGAUGCCAUUGGAUUCCUAUGCACAAGACAGUUGAUCUAUAAAACAUAUGGCAUUUUAAAAUAUUGAUCUCUUCUGUGCCAGUGAGUAAGAGAUAUUAGUGUAGCAUGGGAUUCCGUUUGUAACGCUGGGAUUAAAGUCAGGGAAGUGGAAAAUUGGAAUAGACCUGAAUUCAUGUGAAGUGGAAAGUACAGCUGGCAGCAUUACUAAAGCAGUAGAAUAACAUAUUUUUUAAAAUCAUAUUAAAAAAAUCACGUAACAGCUACUGAGGUAACAGAGUGAAUAUCCAAAUGAAUGUUUUAUAUUAGUUUACUUUUAGUUCUACCGGUAAUGUAAAGUCACAAUACAGUGACACCCACUAGAAUGGGACAAAAUAAAGAGUAGUACCAAACAAAAACAAAAACAAACAAACAUUUUUCUUACAAUGUAAACAAUAAUCUGUAUUUUAAAGUGCCACUUGAUCUGAGUAUUUAAUCUGUGUCAUGAAAUAUAUGUUUCUGAAAUAAAGAAAACAAAGCAACCAGCCCCCACCUUUGCUGUAUUCCUGCAGAUUGUUGCCUCAAUCCUCAGCUGGGGAACUGAUUUA